CCAAGUGACAGACUUGUGUUUUAUUCUGAAGGAAGCGUUUUAAGUUGUACUAGUUAGAGUAGUUCCGCUUCCGGUUCGCCACGUAGUUCUUACGAUGCGUUCAGCGCUUUAAGCAGUCCUUGACGAUAAACUGCCUAAAACAGCCUACCCUGUUUAUCCUGCUUUCACUGCCAUCCAUUGCCUGUCCCUGCUGCAUGUACAUGCUGUUCACCUGCGUGCCUACGGCUGUAAUAAAGUGUCAAACCUUCUUGGACGACUCGUCAGCUUUCAAACCGAAGCCCUGCACCGGGCGGUAACAAUCCGGAAUCAGCAACCGGGGGUCGUAACUUCCCCACAAGUAUAUUGUGGAGUUUGUGGAAAAACAAGGAAGCAAGCAACCAUUUUUUUUGGAAAUAUCCAAGAUGAACCUGGAAUGAGGAGAAAAGAACUGAAAAUGGUAAAGUCUCAAAUUGGUUCAAAAGCUAGAAGCAGUAGUUUUGCCACAACUAUAACAUCUGUUCAGAAGAGAGUGGAACCUGUGAAUAAAGGAGAGAAGAACUCGUGAGUUUGUUUUGUGGAGCUGGUCAUUCUUUGGAUAUUUGCCUUCGUCUGGAUAAAAGGACACAAGAAGAGAAGAUGUCUUUUUUGAAGGAAAAUGGGACGUGUUUUGGUUGUCUGGGUACAGGAGUAAAGACUGCAGAAAAUGUCUGACCCAUGUUCUCCAUCUCUUUUUCUCCGGCCAGUGUUGUUUUUGGCAGGAAGUGUUAAAAAGCAUGAGCAUGACCGCUCUCAGCUUCCGUAGGAUCAUUCUGUGUAUUUUAUUUCUCUUGAUAGAAACCACAGACUUACAGAUAUACAUGUGUUCAUACGUAGAAUGUGACUCAGCAACAAUAAAGCGUGGCAUAAGGAGAAGUGUGUUGGACUGGUGCUGUAUACCUCAUCUGUUCUGACUGGACCAUCUGUGGAGGCUGCACAUAUAUAAAUCAGUGUCUAAUACUCAUCUCUGAGGUCACAGGUUGGUCCUUCUGAACUGAGAUUAUUUUACCAACACCUCUUUUACCAGUUAAACACGUGUAAAAUGAAACAGUCAACAAACGGCUGAGUGCAUGUGGUCUCUCAGAGACAAGCUGUGGACCUCUGUCCUCAGUCCUCAGCUCC